rnacentral:rRNA from 1 species
AGAGUUUGAUCCUGGCUCAGAUUGAACGCUGGCGGCAUGCUUUACACAUGCAAGUCGAACGGCAGCACGGGGCAACCUGGUGGCGAGUGGCGAACGGGUGAGUAAUAUAUCGGAACAUGUCCGGAAGUGGGGGAUAACGUAGCGAAAGUUACGCUAAUACCGCAUAUGCCCUGAGGGGGAAAGGAGGGGAUCGUAAGACCUUUCGCUUUCGGAGUGGCCGAUAUCAGAUUAGCUAGUUGGUGGGGUAAAGGCCUACCAAGGCAACGAUCUGUAGCUGGUCUGAGAGGACGACCAGCCACACUGGGACUGAGACACGGCCCAGACUCCUACGGGAGGCAGCAGUGGGGAAUUUUGGACAAUGGGGGCAACCCUGAUCCAGCCAUGCCGCGUGAGUGAAGAAGGCCUUCGGGUUGUAAAGCUCUUUCAGCCGGAAAGAAAUCGUGCAACCUAAUACGUUGCAUGGAUGACGGUACCGGAAGAAGAAGCACCGGCUAACUACGUG